rnacentral:rRNA from 1 species
UACGUAGGGCGCAAGCGUUGUCCGGAUUUAUUGGGCGUAAAGAGCUCGUAGGCGGUCCGUCACGUCGGCUGUGAAAACCCGAGGCUCAACCUCGGGCCUGCAGUCGAUACGGGCAGACUAGAGUGCGGUAGGGGAGACUGGAAUUCCUGGUGUAGCGGUGAAAUGCGCAGAUAUCAGGAGGAACACCGGUGGCGAAGGCGGGUCUCUGGGCCGUAACUGACGCUGAGGAGCGAAAGCGUGGGGAGCGAAUAGG